CCGGGCGCACGGGUGAGUAACGCGUAUCCAACCUGCCUUACACUCUUGGACAGCCUUCUGAAAGGGAGAUUAAUACAAGAUGUUAUCAUGAGUAAGCAUUUUCACAUGAUUAAAGGUUUACCGGUGUAAGAUGGGGAUGCGUUCCAUUAGAUAGUAGGCGGGGUAACGGCCCACCUAGUCUUCGAUGGAUAGGGGUUCUGAGAGGAAGGUCCCCCACAUUGGAACUGAGACACGGUCCAA
rnacentral:rRNA from 1 species